rnacentral:rRNA from 1 species
GACGAACGCUGGCGGCGUGGAUUAGGCAUGCAAGUCGAACGGUAGGAUACCUUCGGGUAUCUGAGAGUGGCGAACGGGUGAGUAACACGUAGGUGAUCUACCCUCAAGAUUGGGACAACCCAGGGAAACUUGGGCUAAUACCGGAUGAAAGCAGCAGUGAUGUUGUUUGAAAGGUGGCGUAAGCUGCCGUUUGGGGAUGAGCCUGCGCUCUAUUAGUUAGUUGGCGGGGUAAAGGCCCACCAAGGCGAUGAUAGAUAGGCGGCCUUAACGGGUGGUCGCCCACACUGGGAUUGAGAUACGGCCCAGACUCCUACGGGAGGCAGCAGUCGAGAAUAGUCUACAAUGGCCGAAAGGCUGAUAGUGCGACGCCGCGUGAACGAAGAAGCCCUUCGGGUGUAAAGUCUUUAUAUGUGAGCAGUGCUUUCUAUGUGAACAGCAUGGGGAGAGAGAUAUUAGCAUAUGAAUAAGCAACGGCUAACUCCGUGCCAGC